AGGGUUUGAUCAUGGCUCAGAUUGAACGCUGGCGGUAGGCUUAACACAUGCAAGUCGUGCGAGAAAGUAUCUUCGGAUAUGAGUAGAGCGGCGGACGGGUGAGUAACGCGUAGGAAUCUACCUAGUAGAAGGGGAUAGCCCGGGGAAACUCGGAUUAAUACCGUAUACCUCCUUCGGGAGAAAGAAGGCCUCUCUUUGAAGCUUUCGCUACUAGAUGAGCCUGCGUAAGAUUAGCUUGUUGGUGAGGUAAAGGCUCACCAAGGCGACGAUCUUUAGCGGGUCUGAGAGGACGAUCCGCCACAUUGGGACUGAGACACGGCCCAGACUCCUACGGGAGGCAGCAGUGGGGAAUAUUGGACAAUGGGCGCAAGCCUGAUCCAGCCAUACCGCGUGUGUGAAGAAGGCCCUAGGGUUGUAAAGCACUUUAAGUUGGGAAGAAAAGUUAUUGGUUAAUACCCAAUGACCGUGACAUUACCAUCAGAAUAAGGACCGGCUAAUUCCGUGCCAGCCGCCGCGGUAAUAC
rnacentral:rRNA from 1 species